ensembl:lncRNA
CUCAGAUUGAUUCAGUUUCUCUCUGUCUGAAGGUAUAUUCUCUUGCUCGCAUUGAUUAAUUUUCUCGCUGUCUGAGGGUAUAUUUUCUCGCGCAUAUAGAUUCAGUUUCUCUCCGCCAGAAGUUAUAUUCUCUUGCUCAGAUUGAUUCAUGUUCUCUUUGCCUUGGGGUAUAUACUCUGGAACGGAUUGAUUAAUUUUCUCUCCGCCUGAAGUUAUAUACUCUGGCUCGGAUUGAUUUAGUUUCUCUCCGCCUAAAGGUAUAUUAUCUUGCUCAGUGAGAUUCAGUUUCUCUCUGUCUGAGGGUAUAUGUUCUUGCGCAUACAGAUUCGGUUUCUCUCUGCCUGAAGUUAUGUACUCUGGCUCGGAUUGAUUCAUUUUCUCUCCAUCUGAGGGUAAAUACUCUUGUUCAGAUUCAUUCAGUUUCUCUCCGCUUAAAGGAAUAUUCUCUUGCUCGGAUUGAUUCAGUUUCUCUUCGUCUGAGGGUAUAUAGUCUUGCUCGGAUUGAUACAUUUUCUCUUCUCCUGAAGUCAUAUGCUCUUGCUCAGAUUGAUUCAGUUUCUCGCCGCCUGAGGUCGUAUGCUCUUGCUCAGAUUGAUUCAGUUUCUCGCCGCCUGAGGUCAUAUGGUCUUGCUCAGAUUGAUUCAGUUCCUCGCCGCCUGAGGUCGUGUGCUCUUGUUCAGAUUGAUUCAGUUUCUCUCCGCCUGUGGUCGUAUGCUCUUGUUCAGAUUGAUUCAGUCUUACUGAGUGUAUCUGCUCUACCUCCUCACUGUAUAAUAUGUCUUGUGUCUGGGAAAGUUCCGUGUGAGACACAAUUUGAAGACUCAGUACUGACUCGCUCUCAAUCAUCUGCCCAUUAAAGUGUUCACUGUAACUGGAUAUAGAUAAAUUCUCUAACUCUUGCUCCACCAAUCUAUCAAUUCUUUCUUCAUUAUUGUCCUCAUCAGAGCACAUCAUGGAGUACUCUCCAGGUUCUGUAAGUUCCUCAUAGGAUUGUUCCUCUUCUGCCUCCUGAAUCAACUGAUCUACUGCAUUCUCCUCAUCGUUCUCCUGUGUAGCAUGCUCCUUUGUUUGGCUAGCAUCCACGUCGUCUUGGUGAGUGGAGCCCAUGUUACGUUCCUGAUCUAUGACAUCCCCUUCUGACUCUUCAUACAGAUCCUCCAUGGUGUCAAACUGUUUGGACUUGCCUUCGCCCCAGGUGCCUGAUCCUGUCUGGCAAACCUCCCUGUCCUGUUCACCAUCACUGGAGUCACUUUCUCCCAUGUGUGAAGCCUGAGUGUUGGCAUCCGUCUCGUCACUCUUGUAACGGAUCAGGGGGUGUGUGUCGGCCAGUGUGUUGUCCUGAGCGUAGCUGUCACCUUCUAGCUCAGCCCUCCAUGAAACAGAAGUAUUUUGACAGUAGUUUGCCUCAUCAUGAUCCUCUUUGUCAUUGUCGGAUAGAUUCCGUUUCUCUCUGCCUAAAGGUAUAUGCUCUUGCUCAAAUUGAUUCAGUUUCUCUACAUUUGAAGGUAUAUGUUCUUGAUCAGACUGAUUUGGUUGGGUUUCUCUGUUAUUCCACAUCUCUUCCUCUUUCAUAUGAUCCUUUCCUUCUUGAUCCUUUCCUUCAUCCAUUCUUUCUCUAAUUCCAUUCUCUUCAGUGUAUCCUCCCACUCUAUCCCAUUCAUCAUUUACAUCCCCAUUGGGGUGCAAUGCAUAUUGCAUCUCACGUUUAUUAUACAUAUCAUUUUCAUCAUCCCCUUUUGUGAAAUUUAUAUCACCUUCCUCCAGUCUUUCAACAUGAUGAAAUACCUCUUCUGACCAGUGAGAAGCUUGAGCAGAUUCAU